GGGUCAAACUUGACGCAGGCG
rnacentral:snRNA from 1 species